GAUGAACGCUGGCGGCGUGCCUAAUACAUGCAAGUCGAGCGAACGGACGAGAAGCUUGCUUCUCUGAUGUUAGCGGCGGACGGGUGAGUAACACGUGGAUAACCUACCUAUAAGACUGGGAUAACUUCGGGAAACCGGAGCUAAUACCGGAUGAUAUUUUGAACCGCAUGGUUCAAAAGUGAAAGACGGUCUUGCUGUCACUUAUAGAUGUAUCCGCGCUGCAUUAGCUAGUUGGUAAGGUAACGGCUUACCAAGGCAACGAUGCAUAGCCGACCUGAGAGGGUGAUCGGCCACACUGGAACUGAGACACGGUCCAGACUCCUACGGGAGGCAGCAGUAGGGAAUCUUCCGCAAUGGGCGAAAGCCUGACGGAGCAACGCCACGUGAGUGAUGAAGGUCUUCGGAUCGUAAAACUCUGUUAUUAGGGAAGAACAUAUGUGUAAGUAACUGUGCACAUCUUGACGGUACCUAAUCAGAAAGCCACGGCUAACUACGUG
rnacentral:rRNA from 1 species